GACGAACGCUGGCGGCGUGCUUAACACAUGCAAGUCGAACGGAAAGGCCCUGCUUUUGUGGGGUGCUCGAGUGGCGAACGGGUGAGUAACACGUGAGUAACCUGCCCUUGACUUUGGGAUAACUUCAGGAAACUGGGGCUAAUACCGGAUAGGAGCUCCUGCUGCAUGGUGGGGGUUGGAAAGUUUCGGCGGUUGGGGAUGGACUCGCGGCUUAUCAGCUUGUUGGUGGGGUAGUGGCUUACCAAGGCUUUGACGGGUAGCCGGCGUGAGAGGGUGACCGGCCACAUUGGGACAGGGGUACGGGCCAGAGUCCUACGGGAGGCAGCAGUGGGGAAUAUUGCGAGAUGGGCGGAGGCCGGAAGGAGCGACGCCGCGUGGGAGAUGACGGCUGUCGGGUUGUAACGCGCUUUCGCGUGUAACGAAGCGUGAGUGACGGUAAUGGGUAAAGAAGCACCGGCUAACUACGUG
rnacentral:rRNA from 1 species